rnacentral:rRNA from 1 species
UGGGGAAUUUUGGACAAUGGACGCAAGUCUGAUCCAGCCAUGCCGCGUGCGGGAAGAAGGCCUUCGGGUUGUAAACCGCUUUUGUCAGGGAAGAAACGAGUUUCUCUAAUACAGAGACUUAAUGACGGUACCUGAAGAAUAAGCACCGGCUAACUACGUGCCAGCAGCCGCGGUAAUACGUAGGGUGCAAGCGUUAAUCGGAAUUACUGGGCGUAAAGCGUGCGCAGGCGGUUAUGCAAGACAGAUGUGAAAUCCCCGGGCUCAACCUGGGAACUGCAUUUGUGACUGUAUAGCUAGAGUACGGCAGAGGGGGAUGGAAUUCCGCGUGUAGCGGUGAAAUGCGUAGAUAUGCGGAGGAACACCGAUGGCGAAGGCAAUCCCCUGGGCCUGUACUGACGCUCAUGCACGAAAGCGUGGGGAGCAAACA